GUGCAGGCUAGUCAGCAAGGUGUGGUCUGAGGUGGCCCUGUCCUUUCCUGUAGUGCCUGCUAUAGAAAGCUGGGGUGGUUUGAGGCCUUGAUGUGUUCAAUUCACAGUAAGGUUAUAGAAACCUCAGACAGUC
ensembl:snoRNA